rnacentral:rRNA from 1 species
CCUGUUUAUUAAAAACAUGGCCUAUUGAUAAUAAUUUUAGGUCAGGCCUGCCCAAUGAAAAUUUAAAUGGCUGCGGUAUCUUGACCGUGCAAAGGUAGCAUAAUCCUUAGUUUUUUAAUUGAAAGCUUGUAUGAAAGGUUUAAUGAAAAAAUAACUGUCUUUGUUUAAAUUUAUUAGAAUUUUAUUUUUAAGUAAAAAAGCUUAAAUAUCCAUAGAAGACGAGAAGACCCUAUAGAGUUUUAUAAUUUUUUAUGUGUUAAAAUUAAGUAUUCAAUUUUGUAUAUAAAAAAUUAUUUGGUUGGGGUGAUUGAAAAAUUAAUAAAACUUUUUUUUUAAAAAUUACACUUAUUUGUGAUUAUUUGAUCCUUUGAUAAAGAUUAAAAGAAAAAAUUACCUUAGGGAUAACAGCGUUAUUUUUCUUUAAAGUUCAAAUUGAAAGAAAAGUUUGCGACCUCGAUGUUGGAUUAAAAUUUUGUAUUGGUGUAGCAGCUAAUAAAAUAGGUCUGUUCGACCUUUAAAAUUUUACAUGAUCUGAGUUUAAACCGGCGUGAGCCAGGUCGGUUUCUAUCU